rnacentral:rRNA from 1 species
CCUACGGGAGGCAGCAGUAGGGAAUCUUCCACAAUGGACGAAAGUCUGAUGGAGCAACGCCGCGUGAGUGAAGAAGGGUUUCGGCUCGUAAAGCUCUGUUGGUAGUGAAGAAAGAUAGAGGUAGUAACUGGCCUUUAUUUGACGGUAAUUACUUAGAAAGUCACGGCUAACUACGUGCCAGCAGCCGCGGUAAUACGUAGGUGGCAAGCGUUGUCCGGAUUUAUUGGGCGUAAAGCGAGUGCAGGCGGUUCAAUAAGUCUGAUGUGAAAGCCUUCGGCUCAACCGGAGAAUUGCAUCAGAAACUGUUGAACUUGAGUGCAGAAGAGGAGAGUGGAACUCCAUGUGUAGCGGUGGAAUGCGUAGAUAUGACGAAGAACCCCGAUUGCGAAGGCAGCUUGCUGCAGCGGAACUGACGCUGAUGCUCGAAAGCGCGGGUAUCGAACAGGAUUAGAUACCCGAGUAGUC